rnacentral:misc_RNA from 1 species
GAUGAAGAACGUAGCGAAAUGCGAUACUUGGUGUGAAUUGCAGAAUCCCGUGAACCAUCGAGUCUUUGAACGCAAGUUGCGCCCGAAGCCACUAGGCCGAGGCACGCCUGCCUGGGCGUCACACGCCGUUGCCCCCCCAUCUACUCCUUCGGGAUUGCGGGGGGGCGGAUGAUGGCCUCCCGUGCGCCUAGCCGCGCGGUUGGCAUAAAUACCAAGUCCUCGGCGACGCACGCCACGACAAUCGGUGGUUGCGAAACCUCGGUUGCCCGUCGUGUGCGUUCGUCGCGCAUCGAGGGCUCGAAAAAAUGCUCGGCUCCGGCUGGGCUUUCAACGCGACCCCAGGUCAGGCGGGGUUACCCGCUGAAUUUAAGCAUAUCAAUAAGCGGAGGA